AGAGUUUGAUCAUGGCUCAGAUUGAACGCUGGCGGCAUGCCUUACACAUGCAAGUCGAACGGUAACGCGGGGGCAACCCUGGCGACGAGUGGCGAACGGGUGAGUAAUACAUCGGAACAUAUCCAGUAGCGGGGGAUAACCUAUCGAAAGAUGGACUAAUACCGCAUACGAUCUACGGAUGAAAGCAGGGGACCGCAAGGCCUUGCACUAUUGGAGUGGCCGAUGUCGGAUUAGCUAGUUGGUGAGGUAAAGGCUUACCAAGGCGACGAUCCGUAGCUGGUCUGAGAGGACGAUCAGCCACACUGGAACUGAGACACGGUCCAGACUCCUACGGGAGGCAGCAGUGGGGAAUUUUGGACAAUGGGCGCAAGCCUGAUCCAGCCAUGCCGCGUGAGUGAAGAAGGCCUUCGGGUUGUAAAGCUCUUUCGGUGAAGACGAAACGGUUAGCGCUAAUAACGCUGACUAAUGACGGUACUCACAGAAGAAGCACCGGCUAACUACGUGCCAGCAGCCGCGGUAAUACGUAGGGUGCAGGCGUUAAUCGGAAUUACUGGGCGUAAAGCGUGCGCAGGCGGUUUGCUAAGACAGGUGUGAAAUCCCCGAGCUUAACUUGGGAAUUGCGCUUGUAACUGGCAAGCUAGAGUGUGGCAGAGGGGGGUGGAAUUCCACGUGUAGCAGUGAAAUGCGUAGAUAUGUGGAGGAACACCGAUGGCGAAGGCAGCCCCCUGGGUUAACACUGACGCUCAUGCACGAAAGCGUGGGGAGCAAACAGGAUUAGAUACCCUGGUAGUCCACGCCCUAAACUAUGUCAACUAGUUGUCGGGGAAGAAAUUCCUUGGUAACGAAGCUAACGCGUGAAGUUGACCGCCUGGGGAGUACGGCCGCAAGGUUAAAACUCAAAGGAAUUGACGGGGACCCGCACAAGCGGUGGAUUAUGUGGAUUAAUUCGAUGCAACGCGAAAAACCUUACCUACCCUUGACAUGCUAGGAAGCCCGCAGAGAUGUGGGUGUGCCCGAAAGGGAACCUAGACACAGGUGCUGCAUGGCUGUCGUCAGCUCGUGUCGUGAGAUGUUGGGUUAAGUCCCGCAACGAGCGCAACCCUUGCCAUUAGUUGCUACGUUAGUUGGGCACUCUAAUGGGACCGCCGGUGACAAACCGGAGGAAGGUGGGGAUGACGUCAAGUCCUCAUGGCCCUUAUGGGUAGGGCUUCACACGUAAUACAAUGGUCGGUACAGAGGGCUGCCAACCCGCAAGGGGGAGCUAAUCCCAGAAAGCCGAUCGUAGUCCGGAUUGUAGUCUGCAACUCGACUGCAUGAAGCCGGAAUCGCUAGUAAUCGCGGAUCAGCAUGUCGCGGUGAAUACGUUCCCGGGUCUUGUACACACCGCCCGUCACACCAUGGGAGUGGGUUCCACCAGAAGUAGUUAGCCUAACCGCAAGGAGGGCGAUUACCACGGUGAGAUUCAUGACUGGGGUGAAGUCGUAACAAGGUA
rnacentral:rRNA from 1 species